UCAGAUGCCGACAUCACAUAAGAAGGUUAAUUCAAUGUUGCUGCAGGACUUGGAAUUUAUAUCCUGUUUUAUCUCAGUGUAGAACAAAAAUUGAGAUAAAUUGCUGUCAAAAAUUUUGUAGACUUGAGAAUGAAAAACAACAUUUCAUCAACAAAAUAGAUGAAAAUAGCAAACAGGAAGUUGUCAAGGGAUUGUUACCUCAAGUCUGAAGUGGUUCAAUGCAAAUCAUGAGCUUCAUUCAUGCAUUGCUGGUAUUCACAAAAUGCCAUGAUUUAAGAUGAAGACUUUAUAGGAAGAUAUUAUCUGAUGUUUAGGUAAUGUUUGAUGCUUCCAAUUCUGGAUAUUUUGAAAAAAAGGUGAAAAUGAAGGAAGGAUGUCAAUACGCAGAAAAUAAUUUUAAAAAGAGAGCGGUACUCAGUUACAAAAUAUAACUCUGGAAUUAAUUUGCUGUGAAAGAAGGACUAAAACACUAAUGGACUCCGGAAAACAAGUUGAGCAAGGGGAAGAGACUUAAACAAAACAACAGACUCAGGAAUAUGUUGUGCAAAACAAGAGACUUAAAAAAAAACAAAAAAUAGACCCAGGAAUAUGAUUUGCACGACAAGAAACUUUUAUUAAACAAAACUAUAGAAUAUAAUCAGUGAUGAAAUAAAAACUUUGUUUAGCAUGAAUUUUUUAUUUAUUAGUUAUAAAUUUGAGGAGAGAAAGUGGAAUAUGAUUUUCAUUGAAGAUUAUUUUUUUUUCUUUUUAAAGAUUACUGCUUAUCUACAAUGUUUGAUUAAAAAUGUGUUUUUUUUUUUCUUCAAAAUUUAGAUUUUGAAAGUCAUGUUAAAAUUUGAGAGAGUUAGAAUAUUCAUUUGUAAAGAUUUAUCCUGUUUCAACCAUAAAGCUCAUAAUAUUAUUACCAUUUUUAACGAGUGGUUUGACAAUAGACUGUCACUGCUAGUUUUUUUUUUUUUUUUUUUUUUGCAUUUAUGGUUUAAACAGGAUUAAUCUAAGAGAAAGAAAAAUGCAGUGUAUGAAAGAGAGAAAGAGGGACUAUGUAAAGGUCUAUUCUCUUUCAGCAAAACAGCAGGUUCUUUUUUUACGAUUUCUUGUAUUGAAAUCAAGCACCUGCCAAUUUGUUUAAAUUGGAUGAAUCUUGGAUGAGUAUGACAUUGUGUAUUGAAAACUGUAUUUUUAAAAAUGCAUUUUCGACACACUUAAAAUAUUACAUAUUAAAAAAUUUAGAUAAUUAAUUUUUAUUUUAUAUCUAAAUUAUCACAAUCAUGCUAUAUAUUUUAAGUGUAUCAUUUUUUAUAUAUAUUUUUUUAAGUUUUCAACACAGGAAGUGUAAUCUAAGUAUGAUGAAUGGGGAGCUAAUAGGUUUUAUUUACAGCAAGGGGAGGGAAUACACCUAUUUACCUCCUAAUACUGGUUGCUUCCUUUGAUGAAAGUUAAUUUAUUAUACUUUGAUAAUUAUGUGAAGUUGCUUUAAGGGUUCAUCAGAUGAUAUCAAAAUUUGCCAUUUUGUAGAGCUUAGUAAAGUCAAAAUGUAAAAAAAGAGAAAAGAAACAAAAACUAUUAAAAAAAAUAGAAGAAGAAAAAACUGUAAACUAAGUUCCAGGAAAUGGCAGUAUGGGUUGUUCUAAAAUUUAUAAGUUGUAUUGGAUCCAAAAAUAUUCUUACAACUUAAAUACAUCUGAUGUGUGUGUGUGUGUGAGGGAGAGAAAGAUAAUAUUUUGUGAAGGUUUAUUCUCUUUCAGCUAAACAGCAGGUGCUUCUUACAACUUUUAGUAGACUGGUCUCAAACAAGUUGCCAAAACCUGCCAGUUGGUUUAGAUAUGAUAAAUCUAGAAGUGUAAGAUAGUAUUUUGAGAUGCUACUUUUUCUCUGAUUUUUUUUUUGUGGCUUGAAUCUAUCUAUGAACAAAGAAUAUACACUUGAAUAUGACACGGAUCAAAAUUUAAUAAAUAAGCUCUCAUUUUUUUAAACAUCACAGCCAUGUUCUAUUCUAUGUGUAUUAUGUCAUUUUGUUAAACCUUUCAACACAGAAAGUAAAAUCCAGGUGUGAUGAAUGAGGAGCUAAUAGGGUGAAGUGUAUGGCAAGGGGACGGAAUACACCUAUUUACCUCCUUAUUCUGGUAGCUUCCUUUGGUGGAAGUUAAUUAAUUAGACAUUAAUAGGAGCACCUCAGAUGAUAUCAAAAUUUAACAUUUUGUAGAGCUUAGUAAAAAAAAAUGUAUAAAAAAAAUGUAAAAAAAAAAAUGAAAUGAAAGAAAAGAAGAAAAAACUGUAAACUAAGUUCUAGAAAAUAGCAGUAUGGGUUGGUUUGAAAUUUAAUGAUUUCUUUUGGAUAUGAAAUUCUUCUUUUUGCAUUUUAAAUUCAUCUGAUUUGCAUAUGUGAUAGAGAGAGAGAACAAGACUUUGUUAAGGUUUAUUCUGUUUUCAUCUAACAGCAGGUGCUUCUUUCAUCUUACUGUAGUCAUUUCUUAUAAAAUUACUAAAACCUGUCAGUAGAUUAGAAUUGAAUAAAUCUAGAAAGAGGGUAAAGUAUUUUCAUUAUUUGGAUUAGAUUUUUUUUUUUGUUAUAGACAUUUUUCAUAAUUAGUUGUUAGAUGAAGGUGGAGAACAUAUUUUAUUAAAACAUUUAAGUGGUUUUAUUUAAUUAAAACUUAUUUGCUAAUAGUUUUAAAAGAAGCUAUUACAAUUUUGACAAAUAUUUACAAUGGAAAGAAAAACAGCUAUUAUCUCCCUUUAUCAAGACCUACUUUUUACAAUAAAAGAAACAAAUGUAUAAGAAAACAAAAAUGUUUAAUAAUUUCUGAAUUUGCAGUAAUUGUACUCUUCACAGCAUUUCUUACUCAUAAAUUUUUUUUAACACUUUAACUCAUGUUCUUUGCUUAAUUAUUUUUUUUUACACAUGAAAAAUGUACUGCUUUGUUUUUUUUCUGUCUUUGUAUGCCAAGAUGUGUGUUUUUUGUAUUACAAAGUUGCAAUCAGACUUCACCCUGAUUACCAGCUAGAGACCAUUUGUUAUAUAUAUAUUGCCAGUAAUAAAAUUUACUUAAGAGAAAUGCAGUAUAGCUGUUAUGUUGAUAUGGAAUA